GCUUUGAGAACAGUCUUCCAUACUUGAUGUCUUCACAUGCACAUAACCUGCCCGUCAUCAGUAUCCUAUGCUCAGUGGUGAGGGAUUGAAAGAGAAUGUGAGAAAAUGCCAUCGAAGUCACCUAUCUCCAUAUUCUCUGCCACCUGAGAGACCCCACUGGGGAGAUAGUCGCUGGGGCUAAUUAAAAACAACCUUGGGCAAGAAAGGGGAGUGAAACCUGCAAACUUCUUCGCAAUUGGAAAGCAUCUCCACACUAAAAUUCGAAGGCAUUCUCUGGUGGUUCAACAGACACAGUCACCAGGUGCCGCUGUGCCAGGACAGAUGUUCUAGAGUUACCUGUGAGGUGUCAUUCCUUGAGAGGAAUCCCCGGUGAAAACUAUCUUGGAUAGAGGGCAGCAAGAUGGAAUGAUAGGGGGGAGAGAUUAUGAAAGAACUGGAAUUCAUUCAGGAAGCCAGUAAAGCCCAGAGCACCCUUAUUUCAACCAUGAAAGAGCCGAAAGAGACAGGCUUUGAACUAUGUCCAUGUCCUGCCGGGGGUAUCUCAGAAAGGAAGGUAGAGUGAAGAAUGGACCUGUGGGCAGCCAUCAGCAGCACCUCAGAGGACAGCAAUUUGUAUUUAGCCCGGCAAUACCACAGGUGCAAAGACAGCAAGCGGCUCACGGUGAGAAUCUGUCUGCACGUCCUUCCACGAGACACAACUUAUAAAUCAUCCAGUGUGCUUGCACAGUACCAUCCAAGCUUUCCUAUAGUAGCGGCCACAGUGAGGAGUACAGGAAACAGUUCUAACAAAGGUAUGAUUACGUGACAAUAGAUAAAGGGCGGGGUUACAAAUGGAAAAAAAAUGAGACCGCCCUUGUCAACCUGACACAAACUGGAAGCACCCAGGAAGAGGAAAUCUCAGUUGAAGACUUGCCGCUAUGGCCUGUGCGCAUGUCUGCGAGGCAUUUUUUUUUACAUUGCUAAUUUACAUAGGAAGGCCCCACCCACUGUGAGUGGUGCCCUCCCUAGGUGGGUGGACAUGGGCUCUCUACGAAAGGGAGCUGAGCAAGCUGCAGAGAGCAAGACAGUAAGCAGCAUUCCUCCAUGAAGCAUGUGUGAGACAGGAGGUUCAGUUCCUGCCUCCAGGUUGUUCCUUGAAUUCCUACCUGAAUUCCCUCCAUAACAGACCUAGACAUGUAAGCCAAAUUAAGCCUUUCGUCCUCCUCCCCAGGAUGCUCUGAGCCAUGGUGCUUACCACAGCAACACAAGGAAAACUAGAGCAGAAGCCAACAUGUAAGAGAUUCUGCUAAGUCCUUUAAAUGUGACGCCUGAGAAGACUGGACCCACAUGCCUCCCCCGAGUCUCUCCACAUCCUACACAGGCUAAAACCCCUCUCUAUGCAUGCACUUUUACUGUGUAUCCUACUGGCUUCCCUGAAAUUCUUUCCUGCAGCAAAGUCAAGAGUUCUUUCUGGAGAACUCCUGGGGUUUCUGCAGGUGGGAAGAUGGGUCUGGGUCUUUGUCCUAGGCCUCACUGCUGCUGAGAGCAUGACCGUGAAUUUAUUAAAGGUCAUUGUCUAAGACGAA